rnacentral:tRNA from 1 species
GAGAUGCUAGUUAAACUAUAACACUGCCUUGUCAAGGCUGAGUCGCGGGUUAAAACCCCGCCCAUCUUU